AUGAGGAAUCAACUGAGAUUUUUUAAAUUUGAAUAAUUUUAAUUAUUAGUAUAUAUGAGAGACGUUAAGGCAUGCUGCUUUCUGCUCUAAUACCGCCAUCUAGUGGGCAUUUAGGCGAAUACAUAACAUUAAAUGAAUAUGUCAAGUAUGAUAUAUUAUCAGUGCAAGCAACCGGUAGAUUACAAAAAUGAAUCUCAUCACAAAUCAAUAUUAUUCAAUAGAUAUUGAUUAUACCUAAAUUCGCACAAGGUAGACUGAGUGGAGGAUUGUUUUCUCUCUUGCAGUGACUGUGGACAUAUGCAGGAUUCCCCUCAGAAACCGAUGAAGUGGUAGCACCCAAAUUAGAACGUCUGACACGUCAUGCGUUCACACGUGCGACCGCUCAAUGCACCGCAAGACGCUAACACGUUCAAUGCAUGAAACUGCAAGAAACUGACCGAAAAAAUGCCGUCAAAAACGACAGUUUGAUGAGCCAAAGGUGAGACAAAGGUGUCACCACUUCGUCCACGACAUCGUCCACGAUCGCAGAGACAUGGUCCAUGAUCGGAGAGACAUUGUUGAGGAUGAGGGAGACAUCGUCCUCGAUCAGAGACAUUGUCCACGACCGCAGCGACCUUGUCAAAGACGAGAGAGACGUUGUCCAUGAUCAGAGACAUUGUCCCAUGCUUCGUAGAGACCUUGCGAUAGAAUCGGCGGAGACGGGGGUCACCGAUUUGACGGCACUGCCCGCGAUCAUGGAGACAUUGUCGAUGAUCACAGAGACGCCGUCUAUGAUCUCAGAGACAUCGUCCACGGUCGCAAAGACAGUGGCCAUGAUCACAGAGACUUUGUCCAUAAUCUCAGAGACAUUGUCCGCGAUCACAGAGACGUAGUCCACGAUCAUAGAGCGUCUUUGUACAAUGAAAAGUUCUUUGAGACCAGGACAGAGGCCUCCAGGUGUCACCACUUCGUCCACGACAUCGUCCACGAUCGCAGAGACAUGGUCCAUGAUCGGAGAGACAUUGUUGAGGAUGAGGGAGACAUCGUCCUCGAUCAGAGACAUUGUCCACGACCGC